rnacentral:rRNA from 1 species
CCCUUAGAUGUCCUGGGCCGCACGCGCGCUACACUGACAUGUUCAACAAGCCUCCUAGUUCGACAGGAUUUGGGAAAUCUUUGAACGCAUGUCGUGAUAGGGAUAGAUCAUUGCAAUUAUUGAUCUUGAACGAGGAAUUCCUAGUAAACGCGAGUCAUCAGCUCGCAUCGAUUACGUCCCUGCCCUUUGUACACACCGCCCGUCGCACCUACCGAUUGAAUGUUUCGGUGAAGAUUCCGGAUAGGACUUUUUUGAUUUAUUUCAAUUUUGUCUUAAAAGCUAUCUAAACCUCAACAUUUAGAGGAAGGUGAAGUCGUAACA